GAAAUGCUUCAUCUUCUCAUGCUGCGGACCUAGACAACUAAUCUUUGUUCUCUCAUCCUUGUGGCUUGGGACCACGAAGGCAAACAAAGCAAUGUCCCGCAUCCUCUGCCUCAUACCAAAACUUAAUCCCAUUCCAGGCUAGGAAACUAGCUGAUCCUAACACUUUGCAAUCUGAUUUCAACCCCAAGGACCCCUGGAUCCCUCAGACCAGAUGCAUGAUUUCUCUAAUUGAGCCCCACUUGUGCUCUAUUGGCAAAAUGUCAAAUUGUUCCCUUGGCCUGCAGAUGCAGUGAAUGUGGCCAUAGGACAUUUUGAUAAACUCAACUUUGCACGCAGGGUGGUUGCUUUCACAUUGGGGUCCAAGGUCAGUUUCCUCUCUUGGUAGGGCAAACCACAGUCCACAACACACUCCAGAUCCCUGAGACACAGCGUGUGACAUCAUCUGUAGCCCUAUACCUCAUUUUCCACAGCCAAUGCUAGCUCAAAUUUGGCAGCUCGGAUCUUGGUCUCAGAAUCAAUUGUGGGGAUAUUUUGUGCUGAUUUCCUUGAGUUCUGUCAGCCAAUUAUUUGCUGUGCACUCUUCUAACACUCAGCGCAUCACUUUCAAUCCCAUGUGUCCUUUCCACUUGAGAUUGUGUGUCCAAGUAAAACAGAGUUUCACCUUUGCUUCUCCAUCACCAGACGUCAGGUACUGCACUGAUUUCCAUUCUCUAUUUUGCCUUCUCCUCCUCCCAGGUUUUCUGAGGCCUCAUACUCUCUUGGUACUAAGGGACCACUCUUCAGCAUGUGUCCUGAACCAAGGGCUUCACGUCAGGAAUCUUGGACCACUUCUUGGAGCAGAGAAUUGAGUACCUUCCUCAAGUAAACGUUGACCCUCCACAGGUUUCUGCUAGUAUCAGUGAGGCUCAACAUGACUCAUGAAAGUCUUUCAAGCCUGGUAUUCUCUAAAGAAGUCUCCAUGCCAGUAUUCUCCAUUGUAGCAGAACAACUCUCAUCAAUGUGUUCACAUCUCUCUUCAAUCUGUGCAGCCAGGUUUUCUGCCAGCUUCUCUUCGAGUCUCCAAUAAAGUCGACUUCUACAGCACUGGGCAAGUCUGAAAGUACCUCACAGCCUCACCAGUAUGCUGAUGAUGGGCAGAUCUUCCACAGUCUGUCCUUUCAGUUUCUUGAAACUGACCCAUGAUCUCAGGCCAUUGGGAAGCAGCAGUAUCUCGAACUUACAAAUCUUUCCAAAAAUUAGACCUAAGCCAAGCUCCACAGAGGGUGGCAGUCCCUUCAUGACACUGAUCCACCCACAGAGCUCUGUCCAGUUAACUUGGAUCCACCAGCCACAACAAGCCUGGUUGAACACACCAAUAUUCCAUCUGGAAAGCAACCGGUAACUGCCAUCCCCAAUAUUUGCUGCAUCUUUCCAGUGUUGGGGGAGGGGCUGCAUCAGACGAGAGAUUCCUAAGAUAAAAGUGAUUCUCUCCAA